rnacentral:lncRNA from 1 species
CCUGCUUGUUUUGGAACUUUUUGGGCCUGUUUUUGGUAAUCAAAUAUGCCCUUGAUGUUAUGAUAUUGGAAAUUAAAAAGGUUAGGUUCUCUGAACUUUUGUCUCAUAAAAUUGCGAUUUUGAACUUCGUCGUUGAAAGGAAUUUUACAUUGUUGGUCCAGGACAAUCUUCAUUAAAAUGUUUGCAGUUCUGAAUGUAUUUUCUGUGUUUUGACAAGUAUUUUUGCAUUAAGAACAGCCAAUUUGUCUGCAUUUUUUAGUACUAUUCCAACAUUUUAAAAUGUUGGGUAAAAUAUUGUAUAAAUUCAUCAGAAAUUUCAUGGAGGUGCAAAAUUCCUCAGUUUAAGGAAAUUUCCUUACAUCGAACAGGAAACGCAUACGCGUUGCCUUGACAGGUGAAUACAAGCGUGUGGAAAUCAUCGGUCUGGAAAACCAAACAUUCGAUUAAAAUUGGAGAACAUUCUCAAGUCUUCAUUGAGAUAAAUUUAAGAUG